rnacentral:rRNA from 1 species
UACGAAGGGUGCAAGCGUUACUCGGAUUACUGGGCGUAAAGCGUGCGUAGGCGGUUUGUUAAGUCCGUUGUGAAAGCCCUGGGCUCAACCUGGGAAUUGCAGUGGAUACUGGCGAGCUAGAGUGCGGUAGAGGAUGGUGGAAUUCCCGGUGUAGCGGUGAAAUGCGUAGAGAUCGGGAGGAACACCCGUGGCGAAGGCGGCCAUCUGGACCAGCACUGACGCUGAGGCA